AAGACCUUGCGCUUUUGGAGCGGCCGAUGUCUGAUUAGCUUGUUGGUAAGGUAAAAGCUUACCAAGGCUUCGAUCAGUAGCUGGUCUGAGAGGACGACCAGCCACACUGGGACUGAGACACGGCCCAGACUCCUACGGGAGGCAGCAGUGGGGAAUUUUGGACAAUGGGGACAACCCUGAUCCAGCCAUGCCGCGUGAGUGAAGAAGGCCUUCGGGUUGUAAAGCUCUUUCAGCCGGAACGAAACGGUUACGGUUAAUACCCGUGACUACUGACGGUACCGGAAGAAGAAGCACCGGCUAACUACGUGCCAGCAGCCGCGGUAAUACGUAGGGUGCGAGCGUUAAUCGGAAUUACUGGGCGUAAAGGGUGCGCAGGCGGUCUUGUAAGUCAGAUGUGAAAUCCCCGGGCUUAACCUGGGAACU
rnacentral:rRNA from 1 species